GGACCAGACUCCUACGGGAGGCAGCAGUGAGGAAUAUUGGUCAAUGGGCGGGAGCCUGGACCAGCCAAGUCGCGUGAGGGACGACGGUCCUAUGGGUUGUAAACCUCUUUUGUCAGGGAGCAAUUGGCGCUACGUGUAGCGUUAUCGAGAGUACCUGAAGAAAAAGCAUCGGCUAACUCCGUGCCAGCAGCCGCGGUAAUACGGAGGAUGCGAGCGUUAUCCGGAUUUAUUGGGUUUAAAGGGUGCGUAGGCGGAAUGCCAAGUCAGCGGUAAAAUCGCGGGGCUCAACCUCGCUCCGCCGUUGAAACUGGCGUUCUUGAGUGGGCGAGAAGUAUGCGGAAUGCGUGGUGUAGCGGUGAAAUGCAUAGAUAUCACGCAGAACUCCGAUUGCGAAGGCAGCAUACCGGCGCCCAACUGACGCUGAAGCACGAAAGCGUGGGUAUCGAACAGGAUUAGAUACCCCUGUAC
rnacentral:rRNA from 1 species